UCUCCGUUGGUGAACCAGCGGAGGGAUCAUUAAUGAGUUGUCAUGGGGUUCGAUGCUGGCAGCCAAUUUUUGGAUGCAUGUGCUUGCCCUAACAAUCAUCUUCCAAACACCUGUGCACAUUUUUGAGGGAGUCUUGAGUUGGUUGCCGCUCUUGGGUGAUUUUCUCACAUUCCCUUAAAUCAUUAUACGCUAUUAACAAUGUUGAACGUGCUCUGUGCCGCAAGGCUAUUAAUAUAAUACAACUUUUAACAACGGAUCUCUUGGCUCUC
rnacentral:misc_RNA from 1 species